UACAGAGGUCUCAAGCGUUGUUCGGAUUCACUUGGGCGUAAAGGGUGCGUAGGUGGCUUGGGUAAGUUUGAUGUGAAAUCUCCGGGCUUAACCCGGAAAUGGCAUUGAAUGACUAUUCGGCUAGGAGGUUUGGAGGGGGGUGGAAUUCCGCGUGUAGGCAGGUGAAAUGCGUAGAGAUGCGGAGGAACACCGGAUGGCGAAGGCAGCCCCCUGGGCUAGCACUGACGCUCAGGCACGAAAGCGUGGGGAGUAAACAGG
rnacentral:rRNA from 1 species